rnacentral:rRNA from 1 species
GAUGAACGCUGGCGGCGUGCUUAACACAUGCAAGUCGAACGGAAAGGCUCCUGCUUGCAGGGGUACUCGAGUGGCGAACGGGUGAGUAACACGUGGGUGAUCUGCCCUGCACUUCGGGAUAAGCCUGGGAAACUGGGUCUAAUACCGGAUAGGACGAUGGUUUGGAUGCCAUUGUGGAAAGUUUUUCGGUGUGGGCGUAGCUCGCGGCCUAUCAGCUUGUUGGUGGGGUAAUGGCCUACCAAGGCGUCGACGGGUAGCCGGCCUGAGAGGGUGUACGGCCACAUUGGGACUGAGAUACGGCCCAGACUCCUACGGGAGGCAGCAGUGGGGAAUAUUGCACAAUGGGCGCAAGCCUGAUGCAGCGACGCCGCGUGGGGGAUGACGGCCUUCGGGUUGUAAACUCCUUUCGCUAGGGACGAAGCGCAAGUGACGGUACCUGGAGAAGAAGCACCGGCUAACUACGUG